GGGAAGGUAGCGCAGAGGUCGACGCACCCUCUAGCUAAGAGGGAAGACGCCGGUUCGAAUCCGGCCCACCCCGCCG
rnacentral:tRNA from 1 species